AGAAUCAACGCUGGCGGCGUGCCUAACACAUGCAAGUCGAACGAGAAAGUGGAGCAAUCCAUGAGUAAAGUGGCGACCGGGUGAGUAACACGUGACUAACCUACCUUCGAGGUGGGGGAUAACCUCGGGAAACCGAGGCUAAUACCGCAUAACAUCGCAAGAUCAAAGCAGCAAUGCGCUGGAAGGAGGGGGUCGCGGCUGAUUAGCUAGUUGGCGGGUAACGCCCACCAAGGCGAAGAUCGGUA
rnacentral:rRNA from 1 species